CAUGGACAAUGCCUUGCAACGGAAGGGCUCUGUACUCAUUGCUCUUCAUCCCACUGCUGUGUGCUAUUGUCUUUGUGAUCUUCAUGAUUGGAUUUUGCUUCUUCAAGGAAGAUAUAAAAGAGCCCAAGUAAUUCUGGAAACCAGCAUUUUACCCUUGACCUCCUGCUUUUCAUCCUACUGGUCCUCGCCAGAAGUCGCUGGUUGCCUGGUAUAAGAAAACAAUCAUAAUUAUCUCAUUAAUACUUGGACCUGGCCUCCCUGCUAAUCAGGUUUGUACUGCUGAGAUUUCAAAGGAGAACAGAAAUCUACUAAGAAGAAAUAAAUUGGUUCUCAGGCUAUAAAUAGUUCUAGGAAGCUGCCCAGGGACAAAAAUUUGCCUGCUGGUGAAAUAAAAGACCAUGUAAACUGUAGAUUUAUUUGGAGAGUAUAGUUCCAUGAAUUUAACUGGUCUAGACUCUGGGCCUCUGGAAGGCAGAGACCAUGCUCUCAGCCUUGCCUUUAGUACCUUGUCUGUAACAGGCUAUCAGAUAUGUUGAUUGUGUCAAAGAUAAGCAAAUUCUGAAAUGAGUAAUUUUUUUCAUUCUCUAUCCUCUCUGAAUUCACUUAGUGCCUCUCAGAAUGUGUCUGAGUGGAAAGGGAUUUGCACAGGAUAUGUCCAAACAGGUUAUUGUAACUUUGGAGGUAAACUCUUGUCUAUCAUUCCAUGCACUUCAUUAUUAUUUAUAUCCAUUUCUUUCUUUCUUUCUUUGUUUAUUUAUUUAAGUAAUUGGUCAUGAAAUAGACUUGCAUGCUGAAUACUGAAAUGUGGUGUUUGACACUUGUAAAUUAUUCCAGAUUAUAUAUGAGACUAUAAUAGAUAAAAGUGAUUUAGAUAAUAAAGUGAUCUGUAAUUGAAGUAAAUGAGAGCUGGGUGCUGUGGCUAAUGCCUUGUACUCCCAGCACUUUGGAAGGCUGAGGCAGUAGGAUCGCUUGGGUCCAGGAGUUUGAGACUAGCGUGGCAACAUAGCUAGACCCUGUCUCUACAAAAAGUAAAAAAUUAACCAAGUGUGGUGAUGCGCACCUGUAGUCUCAGCUACACAGGAGGCUGAGGUGGGAGGAUCACUUGAGCUCCAGAUGUUGAGGCUGAAGUGAGCCAUAAUCAUCCUACUGCACUCCAGCCUGGGUGACAGAGGAAGACCAUGUCUCAAAAAAAAAAAAAAAAAAAAGAGAAGUAAAUGAAAACUUAGAGAAAUAGUAGUUGCAACUUCCAAACCAAAGCUUGUAAUUCUGGUCACUAUGACUUGGAAAUAUUUUCCAGAACAACUGUGACUCUUGCCGUUGCUCUAUAAAAUACUGGCAAGGUCCAAAAGGGAAUUUUCCCCCACUGUGUAUAAUAUUAUUAGACAGAUGGUAUUGUAUAGAUGUUCAUAAUGAUAAUUUUUUAAAAUUAGCACAGCAAAUAUUAACUGAACAUGAUCUUCAUGUCCUGUUCCACACAGGUUGUAUUUGUUGAUGUGGACUCUGAUAAAACUGAAAGUUCUUUACUAAUGAAUGCAAAACCAUCUCAUUGCUUACAUUCUUUCUAGAAUUUGCAUAUGCAAAGAUACAAAUUCCAGAAAUAGCACUCAAGAGAACAGUCUGUAGAAAUCUUGUCUAACAACUCUAAAUUUUCAAUCAGCAUUGAAUCAGAAUUAUAGCCAUAGUUCUCUGAAUUAUUCAUGAUAAAUAGAUGACUGGCUACCCAUGGGACUCUGAUACAGCGCUUUCAAUGUGGUAAAAUAAUUAGAAUUGUCAUAUCCACUCUUUGUAAAAUUAUGAGAACUGUUAUUUAUUAAUAGCAAAUGUCAUAACAUAAUCCAACUGUUAUUUUCC
rnacentral:lncRNA from 1 species